GACGAACGCUGGCGGCGCGCUUAACACAUGCAGGUCGAGCGAGAACCGGGGCUUCGGCCCCGGGGAAAGCGGCGAACGGGUGAGUAACACGUGGGCAACCUGCCCUCGGCACCGGGAUAGCCCGGGGAAACCCGGAUUAAUACCGGAUGGCCUCCGGAGCCCUCGGGCGCCGGAGAAAAGGUGGCUUCGGCUUCCGGCUGAGGAGGGGCCUGCGGCGGAUUAGCUUGUUGGUGGGGUAACGGCUCACCAAGGCGACGAUCCGUAGCUGGUCUGAGAGGGCGAUCAGCCACAAUGGGAGUGAGACACGGCCCAGACUCCUACGGGAGGCAGCAGUGGGGAAUCUUGCGCAAUGGGCGAAAGCCUGACGCAGCGACGCCGCGUGCGGGAAGAAGGCCUUCGGGUUGUAAACCGCUUUCAGGAGGGACGAAGCCACUCGGGUUAAUAGCCCAGAGGGUGACGGUACCUCCAGAAGAAGCCCCGGCUAACUACGUGCCAGCCGCCGCAGUAAUAC
rnacentral:rRNA from 1 species